GAUGAAGAACGCAGCGAAAUGCGAUAAGUAGUGUGAAUUGCAGAAUUCAGUGAAUCAUCGAAUCUUUGAACGCACAUUGCGCCCGCCAGUAUUCUGGCGGGCAUGCCUGUUCGAGCGUCAUUUCAACCAUCAAGCCCCAGGCUUGUGUUGGGGACCUGCGGCUGCCGCAGGCCCUGAAAACCAGUGGCGGGCUCGCUGUCACACCGGGCGUAGUAGAUUUUAUCUCGCUCAGGGCGUGCUGCGGGUUCCGGCCGUUAAAAAGCCUUUUUUACCCAAGGUUGACCUCGGAUCAGGUAGGAAGACCCGCUGAACUUAAGCAUAUCAAUAAGCGGAGGA
rnacentral:misc_RNA from 1 species